rnacentral:other from 1 species
GUCCCCCUGCCGGGCGCGUGACGGGCUCGUUUAAACCCACAAUAUAACAUCGGGAUUCCGCGCUUCCGCCCUGUUUUGCAGGCCUCCCGGCCUCGGCUCGACCGGGGUUGGACGUUGGAAGCAGUUAAGGGGCGGAGAGGUUGCCCACCUGCCGUAAUGUGCAGGUUAUAUUCGGGUUCGCACGCCUGCGGCGGGGGGCGG